rnacentral:sRNA from 1 species
GAGAGCGAGAGAGACUGGAGACGCACAGAUCCCCCCAAGGUCUCCCAAGCCUACCGUCCCACAGAUUAUUGUACAGAGCCCCAAAAAUCGAAACAGAGGAAACGAACAGCAGUUGAACAUGGACGAAGGAAUUCCUCAUUUGCAAGAGAGACAGUUACUGGAACAUAGAGAUUUUAUAGGACUGGACUAUUCCUCUUUGUAUAUGUGUAAACCCAAAAGGAGUAUGAAACGAGACGACACCAAGGAUACCUACAAAUUACCGCACAGAUUAAUAGAAAAGAAAAGAAGAGACCGAAUUAAUGAAUGCAUUGCUCAGCUGAAAGAUUUACUGCCUGAACAUCUGAAAUUGACAGUAAGAUGCACAUUUUCAUUCUUUGCUGCUCUCCAAGGGCGUGUUAAUAGUCUGGUGCGACUCCCAGAAAAUAUAAGAAUAAAU